CUUCACACUAGCAAUACACACGCGUAAAAACCGAUAACAGAAAAUGGCGCCAGCAUCUUUUCCGUAUACGACAAUCGCUGGAAUCCUUAGCACAAGCAAGAUCAUUGUCAGACGACGAGUAUGCUUCUUUUAUAGUUAUGGUGUCAAAUGAUUGACCACACUCAUCACACUUGGUAUCGGCAUUUUUACAAUUUUUAACAGGACGUCCACGAGUAUC